rnacentral:pre_miRNA from 1 species
AGUAGGAUAGCUGGAUCAAAUGGUGGUUCCAUUCCAAGUUUUCUGAGGAAUCUCCAUAUUGCUUUCCAAAGUGGUUGGACUAAUUUACAGUCCCACCAGCAAU